GACGAGCGCUGGCGGCGUGCUUAACACAUGCAAGUCGAACGGAAAGGCCCUGCUUUUGUGGGGUGCUCGAGUGGCGAACGGGUGAGUAACACGUGAGUAACCUGCCCUUGACUUUGGGAUAACUUCAGGAAACUGGGUCUAAUACCGGAUAGGAGCUCCUGCUUCAUGGUGGGGGUUGGAAAGUUUCGGCGGUUGGGGAUGGACUCGCGGCUUAUCAGCUUGUUGGUGGGGUAGUGGCUUACCAAGGCUUUGACGGGUAGCCGGCCUGAGAGGGUGACCGGCCACAUUGGGACUGAGAUACGGCCCAGACUACUACGGGAGGCAGCAGUGGGGAAUAUUGCACAAUGGGAGGAAGCCUGAUGCAGCAACGCAGCGUGCGGGAUGACGGCCUUCGGGUUGUAAACCGCUUUCGCCUGUGACGAAGCGUGAGUGACGGUAAUGGGUAAAGAAGCACCGGCUAACUACGUG
rnacentral:rRNA from 1 species